rnacentral:rRNA from 1 species
UCCCAGACUCCUACGGGAGGCAGCAGUCGGGAAUAUUGCGCAAUGGAGGAAACUCUGACGCAGUGACGCCGCGUGCAGGAAGAAGGUUUUCGGAUUGUAAACUGCUUUAGACAGGGAAGAAAAAAGACAGUACCUGUCGAAUAAGCCACGGCUAACUACGUGCCAGCAGCCGCGGUAAUACGUAGGUGGCAAGCGUUGUCCGGAUUUACUGGGUGUAAAGGGCGUGUAGCCGGGUUGACAAGUCAGAUGUGAAAUCCUGCGGCUUAACCGCAGAACUGCAUUUGAAACUGUUGAUCUUGAGUACUGGAGAGGCAGACGGAAUUCCUAGUGUAGCGGUGAAAUGCGUAGAUAUUAGGAGGAACACCAGUGGCGAAGGCGGUCUGCUGGACAGCAACUGACGGUGAGGCGCGAAAGCGUGGGGAGCAAACAGGAUUAGAUACCCUAGUA